rnacentral:rRNA from 1 species
AUUGAACGCUGGCGGCAGGCUUAACACAUGCAAGUCGAACGAGUGGCGGACGGGUGAGUAAUGCUUGGGAAUCUAGCUUAUGGAGGGGGAUACCUACGGGAAACUGUAGCUAAUACCGCUUACCAUAGGAUGAGCCCAAGUGGGAUUAGGUAUUUGGUGAGGUAAAGGCUCACCAAGCCGACGAUCUCUAGCUGGUCUGAGAGGAUGACCGGCCACACUGGGACUGGGACACGGCCCAGACUCCACCGGGAGGCAGAAGUGGGGAAUAUUGCGCAAGGGGGGCAACCGGACGCGGCCAUGCCGGGGGAAUGAAGAGGGCCUUCGGGUUGAAAAGUUCUUUCGGUAGGGAGGCGUUAACUACAGAAGAAGCACCGGCUAACUCCGUGCCAGCAGCCGCGGUAAUAC